UUUCUUAUAGUUGAAAUACAACAGUGGUUUUUCAAGUCAUUGGUCCUGGUUAAAGCCCUGGUAAGAAUU
rnacentral:tRNA from 1 species